rnacentral:rRNA from 1 species
GACGAACGCUGGCGGCGCGCCUAAUACAUGCAAGUCGAACGCAGUGGGGACGGGUGAGUAACACGUGGGUAACAUCCCAUCAGAGGGGAUAACACUUGGAAACAGGUGCUAAACCGAUAGUGAUGGAUGGACCCGCGGUGCAUUAGCUAGUUGGUGGGGUAACGGCCCACCAAGGCCACGAUGCAUACCCUGCCUGAGAGGAUGAGGGGCCAGACUGCGACGGUGACCCGGCCCAGACUCCUACGAGAGUCCGCAGUAGGGAAUCUGCGGCAAUAGGCGAAGGUCUGACCUAGCCACACCGCGUGAGUGAAGAGGGUUUUCGGAUCGUAAAAGUCUCUUGUUAGAGAAGCAAUAUCUAACCGGAAAGCCACGGCUAGCUACGUGCCAGCAGCCGCGGUAAUAC